AGUCAAGUAAUUAAGUGCAUGUGGUGGAUGCCUUGGCAGUCAGAGGCGAUGAAAGACGUGAUAGCCUGCGAAAAGCUCCGGGGAGGCGGCAAAUAUCCUUUGAUCCGGAGAUGUCUGAAUGGGGGAACCCACCUACUUUAAGGUAGGUAUUGCAACAUGAAUACAUAGUGUUGCAAGGCGAACGAGGGGAAGUGAAACAUCUCAGUACCCUUAGGAAAAGAAAUCAAUUGAGAUUCCCUCAGUAGCGGCGAGCGAACGGGGAUCAGCCCAUUAAGUUAUGUGUGUUUUAGUGGAACGCUCUGGGAAGUGCGAACGUAGAGGGUGAUAUUCCCGUACACGAAAGGGCACACAUAAUGAUGACGAGUAGGGCGAGGCACGUGAAACCUUGUCUGAAUAUGGGGGGACCAUCCUCCAAGGCUAAAUACUCCUGACUGACCGAUAGUGAACCAGUACCGUGAGGGAAAGGCGAAAAGAACCCCUGUGAGGGGAGUGAAAUAGAUCCUGAAACCGCAUGCAUACAAGCAGUGGGAGCACCUUCGUGGUGUGACUGCGUACCUUUUGUAUAAUGGGUCAGCGACUUAUAUUCAGUAGCGAGGUUAACCGUAUAGGGGAGCCGUAGGGAAAUCGAGUCUUAAUAGGGCGUUUAGUUGCUGGGUAUAGACCCGAAACCAGGCGAUCUAUCCAUGAGCAGGUUGAAGGUUGGGUAACACUAACUGGAGGACCGAACCCACUGUCGUUGAAAAGCCAGGGGAUGACUUGUGGAUAGGGGUGAAAGGCUAAUCAAGCCUGGUGAUAGCUGGUUCUCCCCGAAAGCUAUUUAGGUAGCGCCUCGGACGAAUACCAUAGGGGGUAGAGCACUGUUUCGGCUAGGGGGUCAUCCCGACUUACCAAACCGAUGCAAACUCCGAAUACCUAUGAGUACUAUCCGGGAGACAGACUGCGGGUGCUAACGUCCGUAGUCAAGAGGAAAACAAUCCAGACCGCCAGCUAAGGCCCCAAAAUCAUAGUUAAGUGGGAAACGAUGUGGGAAGGCAUAGACAGCUAGGAGGUUGGCUUAGAAGCAGCCACCCUUUAAAGAAAGCGUAAUAGCUCACUAGUCGAGUCGGCCUGCGCGGAAGAUGUAACGGGGCUAAAACUAUGUGCCGAAGCUGCGGAUGUAUACUUUGUAUACGUGGUAGGGGAGCGUUCUGUAAGCCGAUGAAGGUGUGUUGAGAAGCAUGCUGGAGGUAUCAGAAGUGCGAAUGCUGACGUGAGUAACGACAAAACGGGUGAAAAACCCGUUCGCCGAAAGACCAAGGGUUCCAGUCCAACGUUAAUCGGGGCUGGGUGAGUCGACCCCUAAGGCGAGGCCGAAAGGCGUAGUCGAUGGGAAAAUGGUUAAUAUUCCAUUACUUCUGUGUAAUGCGAUGAGAGGACGGAGAAGGCUAAAUCAGCCUGGCGUUGGUUGUCCAGGUGAAAGGAUGUAGGCAUGUAUCUUAGGCAAAUCCGGGGUACUCUAUGCUGAGAUCUGAUAGCAAGCUGUACUUGUACAGCGAAGUGGUUGAUGCCAUGCUUCCAGGAAAAGUCUCUAAGCUUCAGUUACACAGGAAUCGUACCCGAAACCGACACAGGUGGUCAGGUCGAGUAGACCAAGGCGCUUGAGAGAACUCUGCUGAAGGAACUAGGCAAAAUGGUACCGUAACUUCGGGAGAAGGUACGCUGUUGUUGGUGAUGGAACUCGCUUCCUGAGCUGACGACAGCCGCAGAAACCAGGCCGCUGCAACUGUUUAUUAAAAACAUAGCACUCUGCAAACACGAAAGUGGACGUAUAGGGUGUGAUGCCUGCCCGGUGCUGGAAGGUUAAUUGAUGGGGUUAGCGUAAGCGAAGCUCUUGAUCGAAGCCCCAGUAAACGGCGGCCGUAACUAUAACGGUCCUAAGGUAGCGAAAUUCCUUGUCGGGUAAGUUCCGACCUGCACGAAUGGCAUAAUGAUGGCGGCGCUGUCUCCAGCAGAGGCUCAGUGAAAUCGAAAUCGCUGUGAAGAUGCAGUGUACCCGCGGCUAGACGGAAAGACCCCGUGAACCUUUACUGCAGCUUGACACUGAACUUUGACCUUACUUGUGUAGGAUAGGUGGGAGGCUUUGAAGCUGGAACGCUAGUUCCAGUGGAGCCGUCCUUGAAAUACCACCCUGGUAAUGUUGAGGUUCUAACUCUGUCCCGUGAUCCGGGACGAGGACCGUGUCUGGUGGGUAGUUUGACUGGGGCGGUCUCCUCCUAAAGAGUAACGGAGGAGUACGAAGGUGCGCUCAGCGUGGUCGGAAAUCACGCGUAGAGUAUAAAGGCAAAAGCGCGCUUAACUGCGAGACCCACAAGUCGAGCAGGUACGAAAGUAGGUCUUAGUGAUCCGGUGGUUCUGUAUGGAAGGGCCAUCGCUCAACGGAUAAAAGGUACUCUGGGGAUAACAGGCUGAUACCGCCCAAGAGUUCAUAUCGACGGCGGUGUUUGGCACCUCGAUGUCGGCUCAUCUCAUCCUGGGGCUGAAGCAGGUCCCAAGGGUAUGGCUGUUCGCCAUUUAAAGAGGUACGCGAGCUGGGUUUAGAACGUCGUGAGACAGUUCGGUCCCUAUCUACCGUGGGCGCUGGAAAUUUGAGAGGAUCUGCUCCUAGUACGAGAGGACCAGAGUGGACGAACCUCUGGUGUACCGGUUGUGACGCCAGUCGCAUCGCCGGGUAGCUAUGUUCGGAAGGGAUAACCGCUGAAAGCAUCUAAGCGGGAAGCCUACCUCAAGAUAAGAUUUCCCUAGGACUUUAUGUCCUCUAAAGAGCCGUUCGAGACUAGGACGUUGAUAGGUUGGAUGUGGAAGCAUAGUGAUAUGUGAAGCUGACCAAUACUAAUUGCUCGUGAGGCUUGACUAU
rnacentral:rRNA from 1 species